rnacentral:lncRNA from 1 species
GGAUGUACAUUCUGAUUGAGAUUAGAGGCCAACGGCAAGCUGCUCACAACAUCACUUUGAGUAGGUAAUAAAAUAGGUGAAUUAGAAAUUUCAGUACCUGAACCAGAAUCCGAGAUGUUACUGUGUUCGGGUUGCUACUGAACUAGCGAAGGAGAAGCCGAGGAAUCAAUGUUCACAUAAUUUGGUUGCCCAAUACUGUCAAGACCUGUAGACAUUGG